rnacentral:rRNA from 1 species
CUGGCGGCACGCCUAACACAUGCAAGUCGAACGCAGUAGCAAUACUGAGUGGCAGACGGGUGAGUAACAUGUGGGAAUCUGCCUUGUGGUUCAGGACAACAUUGGGAAACCGAUGCUAAUACUGGAUAAGCCCUUACGGGGAAAGUUUUAAUGCCAUAAGAUGAGCCCGCAUUUGAUUAGUUAGUUGGUGAGGUAAUGGCUCACCAAGACAAUGAUCAAUAGCUGAUCUGAGAGGAUGAUCAGCCACACUGGGACUGAGACACGGCCCAGACUCCUACGGGAGGCAGCAGUGGGGAAUCUUGCACAAUGGAGGAAACUCUGAUGCAGCGAUGCCGCGUGAGUGAAGAAGGCCUUUGGGUUGUAAAGCUCUUUUGUAGGGGAAGAUAAUGACUGUACCCUAAGAAUAAGGUCCGGCUAACUUCGUGCCAGCAGCCGCGGUAAUACGAAGGGACCUAGCGUAGUUCGGAAUUACUGGGCGUAAAGCGCGCGUAGGCCGUUGAGUUAGUUAAUUGUGAAAUCCCAAAGCUUAACUUUGGAACUGCAAUUAAAACUGCUCGACUAGAGUUUGAUAGAGGAAAGCGGAAUACAUAGUGUAGAGGUGAAAUUCGUAGAUAUUAUGUAGAACACCAGUUGCGAAGGCGGCUUUCUGGAUCAACACUGACGCUGAGGCGCGAAAGUAUGGGUAGCAAAGAGGAUUAGAUACCCUCGUAGUCCAUACCAUNAAACGAUGAUUGCUAGAUGUUGGAAAUUUANUUUCAGUAUCGCAGCUAACGCAUUAAGCAAUCCGCCUGGGGAGUACGACC